rnacentral:lncRNA from 1 species
GUUAGAAUAUAUUAUAAUACAAUAACUUUGAUUGAUUACAAGUGCUAGAGAUGCAUGAACAGUGUUUAGAAGGUUGUAGAAAAACAUGUUGAAAUUGGGUCCCAAAUGGGCUAAGAACUUGGAAACAUUGCGUUGAACCAGUAAAUGACUUAUCUAGUGUUGUUUGGGGUUAGAAUAUAUUAGAAUACAAUAACUUUGAUUGAUUACAAGUGCUAGAGAUGCAUGAACAGUGUUUAGAAGGUUGUAGAAAAACAUGUUGAAAUUGGGUCCCAAAUGGGUUAAGAACUCGGAAACAUUGCGUUGAACCACUAAAUGACUUAUC